AGUGUCAAAAAGUGUAAAAGGUUUUGUAAUUUAGAUCCGUUUUGUUUUAUAUGAAAGAGAAAGAGAGAGGAGUUUGUUUUCUAUUGGACACGACGCCCGUACAGUGCAUCCUACACAGUUAUUCGUGGUCAGUCCAUUUAACUGUUGGUGGAUAGAGAACACGCUUUGAGUAAUACUCCCCGCAUUUUCUUCUCCGGCUUAUACAAGAUAUCUUGAUGCAACAUUUAUAAACUCUAGUAUCGGCUACAACUGGACAGUUAAGACAAGUAAUUUGAAUUUAACAGAUAAUAUCGGAGAUCGAGAAAAUUGUGCUGAGCAUCUAAUAAAUAGAAUACAAACCAGCUAAUGAAGAGUAUUAAUAGUUGAUGCAGUCGUUAUAGGUAAAUUACCUAGAUCUUGCGAGUUGAGUUUUUGACUAAGCGCCUGUUCCUGCUUCUCAUAUCUCGGCGUUUUAUCUUUCUUAGUUUUAAAACAGUUUAAUUGCAGUGAUGGGUGUUGGAAGCUUAUAAACGGUUCGAGCUCUAAAUUUGUGAUCUUUUUUGGAAAAUAUAUUGGAAUGUUUACCAAACGGAGGCGGCCAUAGCUAUGCUACAGAGCGUAUAUCGUCACUCGUGCCUUGUGUUACUGGGAUUGUUAAUAUCAGCUUAUGGUCUUUAUUUGCCUCCUGUACGAUCAUAUCCACGAGCUUCUUAUAGUAGAAAUAAUUAUAGAUCACCAUACGAUUCUGUACCAAGAGUCAGCGUGCCCAAAAGAUCCGACCGUUUUGUCAGUUUUACCAGAUUUAUGGCUCGCCAGAGUCCCAGAUACAGAGAUGAUCAAGCCUUUGUUGAAAAAAUGUUUAGAUUAUUUGACAUGAAUGAUGAUGAAGUGAUAGAACGAGAUGAAUUUCGAGCCAUUUUACAACUUUUUGGUAUCGUUAGUCAUACAUAUUGACCUUGACAUUAUCAUCACUAUGGCAACCAAACACUUACGUGGCUUCCAGUGGAUGACGGCCGGAUAUCAGAAAUAUCCAGGAGGGCAUACGCUAAGCACUAUUUCCAGGAACAAAAUAUACAGUCUGCAUGGUGUAGAGGUGACGACAAACAGGGAUCGGAAACGGAAAUCGGAACGAAAUCUGUGUAACGGAAGCAGACUGUGUCAGUCAACAUCUAAAGUGCCGCCAUUUAAUGAUGGCGGAUACGAUCCAAAACACUCCCAGAGAAAAUGGCACUUGUGGACCUCAAAAUACUGUCUGGACAAUGUGGACAAUAUUCAUAGAUAUAUUUUAAAGGAGUAAUCCGUUUUAAAUGAUGAAAAGUGUGAUUUAAACCAAAUUAAUGUUUAAAAUUUCGGCAAACCGAUAAAGGAAAGGAUUAAGCCUAUACUUGGACUUUAUGAUCGAAGUGGUGACUUAUUUUUAAACUAUUUGUGAAUAUAGCUAUACUUGAAAAAUAAUAUGCUUUAUUCUUUUACAUACGGGACGGUGCAAUCCUUGUUUUUCAGUUGUUUUUAAGAUAUAUUUUAAUUUGUUAUACAUGUAUUAUGUUUACAUUUUCAUUUCAGAGUAUUUCAUUUGUUAAAUUAUUAUAUAUUGUCAAGACCUUUCAGACAGUUCGCUGAAAUCGUAUAUAUAUAUAUCUACUUUCAGACGAACUGUGUUAGGCCUUUAUCGUCUAAAAUAUAUAUAUAUGCAUUUAUGGAAAUGAAUUUCAUACACCACAAGGUGUUAUGCUGCUAAAAAUGACAAUGAUGCUUUUACUUUGAUUAUUUCGCAUUUGUUUCGCAUUUUCAGCGAGAUAUAAAAUAUACAAUUUCUACGGUUAUACUAGGCUCAGUCCUACAAAGACGUUGCUCACAGUGUACACAUUUCAAACAUUUACGUUCAGUUAUGUGCAGACUUUCAACCAGCAUAUUUCCAUCUAAUGGUGUAAACCCCAAUCCUUUGUUAUCGAAAACAAUACAAGAUUAAAUUUUGGCGGAUUUUUUAAAAAUUUUGUCCAGUUCAAACAAUGUUUGAGUUGUUUGUAGCUAUUAUUCCUCUACACAUACUAUAAUAAAAAUAUAUAUUCUGAUGCCAUGAUUAAUAAAUAAUGACUUUCGGCUUAUCGGACUUAAGGGAUUUAUUUAGAAAUCCCAUUAUUCCGAUAUCCCAAAAUUGGGCAUAAUAUUUAUUGUUACUUAUUGACCAAUGGGUAAAUUAGUGAGAUAAACUUCAACAAGAAAACAGACGGAUAACCAGACCUUAGAUCUAAAUUGGUUUCAACUCUCAGUGGAUUGAUUAUUUUCCUAUUGGUGUAUAGCUGGGUAAACUAUUUCCGAUUGACAUACACUGCAUUCGAUUCGCAUCGUAUUUUCGGAAAUAUCCAAUUCGGUUUUACGGAGGGGGUGGGGGGCAUUUAUCUUUACAUAAUUUUAUUGAUAUUUUAAAGUCGGAAAAUAGGGCAGUAUUUCCCCCCAUUACAUUAAUCGAAUUGAACAUAGCUACAUCUGACCCACUAAAGAUAUACCUUCCUUUCCAAGUUCAUACCAUGGAUUAUUUGUGUAUUUUCACUGUUAAUUCUAUCGCUUGUAAAACAAGGUGUAUCAUAUAUAUUGAAUAUACAUACGAAUAAAAAAAUUCCCGAAAAAAAUAUGUUAAAAUUAUACACACAACCGAGUCACGGAUUUUCAUUACAGCUUAUCUUAGAAUGUUUAAAGAAAAACAAAGUAAUGACUUAGAACUUUUUCUGAUGAGCAUGACUUUGUCGGGGACGGAUCAUAUGAAUAAUAAGCCAGUAUUCUUCAUCUGUUAUUGUGUUUCAUGCCCAUUAAAGCAUGCAUUCAGUUUAAAAAUACUAUUUUGACAAAUAUUGAACUAUCUAGUUUGAUAUGAUUUACAUAUUUUUAUUUAACGGAUACCGUAUUUUUCUUACAUAUAUUCUUUGUAAAUUAAUCAUAUACAUUUAGGGACCAACAUAUUUGGCAAGGCGAUUUACUUAAAAUUAAAUGAAUAAAUCCAAAGAUUCUCAAAAGGUGGAAAGGACCUUCUUUUUUUGUAUUUUAGACCUAAGAUUCAGAAAGCUUCAGACUUGAUCAAUGCACAUGGCAUCGAUUGCCAAAAAUAUUUGCAGAUGAAUACGGUGUCUAAACUCUAGGUUUCAGUUUUCAUUCAGAUUUCAUUAUAUUAGUAUACGUAUAUACCCAUCUAUUUGAUGUGAAAACAGACACAACUAAACUUUGACGUUGGUAGAAGAUGUACAUUUACGGCAUCAAGGUCUUAAUGUUAAUUGUUAAUUCGCUAGAUUGCUACGUUAAGACCUGUUUCCUUUUUCUGAUUUUUAAACAUACAGAGUUUAAAAUUCGACUGGCUGGCUACCCUUGAUAUAAAUUGGCUUAUAUUUGUGAUACCACUAGAUAAUUGGGGAUUUUAUAACAUCUUUGGUAACCAUUAGACAAUACCAGUCCCAUUUCUACCAACGGUAUCUUACGCAGUAUACACGUUAUCAACCCGUACUACAAGGACGUGCAUGAAUUCUGUUUAUUUGUCUAGCAGGAAAUCGGACCAUGAUCACCUGGCUGUCCUCUGAUAAUAGGCCUGACUAUUUUAAUUCGAACUGUCUGCAAGUCUAGAAAUGGAGAUUACAGAAAUGAUGGGAACGAAACCUAGUCUUGUAUUUAUCUCACAGGUCUGAAUCUAAGCUUAAGGAAUUUUGAUUAUAGGAUUUUAUUCGGUUUAAAAUUAUUUGUCUUAUAUUUUUGUGUUUAAAUUUAAAAUGAAUAGCGUAUCAAGACAGUAUUUAACUGUUUUGUUUUUAUUUAUACUAUAAUAAAUAUUAUAAUGUAUCAAGAAUUAAAUACGGUAUCAUUGCUUAUCAUUCGAUCAUUUUCUGCGAAGAAAACAUGUUUUAAGUAUUACUACAUUUUACCGUAUGGUUUACUCUGAUAAAA